UAAGUUGAAAAUAGAAUAUUUCAGAAGAGUCAACCAGUUGAGGUGUAGAAAUUUUAGAACCCAAGGUUUGCAUGCCAGAAAAUAACUCCCAAAUUCAGUUCCUGAUUCCACCACAAACUAAAUCUGAUUCCAAAAAUACAGCCAGAACUGAGUCAAUGUUCAAGAAGGAACUAGGUGGUGAUGGUACACCUGGUUGGUUCACAUGUUAUAAAGCCAAAGGAACCCUGGUAACACUCAUGAUGCCUGAUAUUCCAAGGUCUUGGAUUGAAUUUUUUUUCUUUUAGGGUUAUCCCUGAGGCUCAGUGCUGGCACUGAAUCCACUACUCCUGGUGGGUAGAUUCUAUUUUAUUGGAUAGGACAACUUGAACAAGUGCUCAUUGGGUUGUGCUCUAGUCAAAAGUAGAAAACACCUAUACACAGUUAAGCCCCUGGAUAAGAUUCCCCCUUUAUCUGUUUCCAGAUUCUGGAAUAGACUUGGCUGUUAACUGUGUACUAAAGCUUGGCUUUCAUCAAGGUUGUUUCCACUGCCUACACUAAUUGUUGCCAGUGGCCAUUUUUAUAAGGAUGAGAUGAGAGACACAGUACAAUCUGAAGUUUCUCCCUGCAGAAAAAAUGACCAAUUUUGAGACUCAGGCUGACCCGAUGAGAGCUGAGGGAUUAUCCCAGUAAUGACAAUGAUCAGAUAUGCCAUGGGAGAAUGCAGGUUCCAGAUGCCACCAGGAUGCUGGCUAGGCUUCCCUGGAUUGAAGACCCCACCAAUGUGUCCUGGAGCUCAGCUUCCCCAGAGACACACCUUACUAGGGAAAGAGAGAGGCAGACUGGGAGUAUGGACCGACCAGUCAACGCCCAUGUUCAGCGGGGAAGCAAUUACAGAAGCCAGACCUUCUACCUUCUGCAACCCUCAACGACCCUGGGUCCAUGCUCCCAGAGGGCUAGAG